GAUGAGAACGUAGCGAAAUGCGAUAAGUAAUGUGAAUUGCAGAAUUCAGUGAAUCAUCGAAUCUUUGAACGCACAUUGCGCCCGCCAGUAUUCUGGCGGGCAUGCCUGUUCGAGCGUCAUUACAACCCUCAGGCCCCCGGGCCUGGCGUUGGGGAUCGGCGGAAGCCCCCUGUGGGCACACGCCGUCCCUCAAAUACAGUGGCGGUCCCGCCGCAGCUUCCAUUGCGUAGUAGCUAACACCUCGCAACUGGAGAGCGGCGCGGCCAUGCCGUAAAACACCCAACUUCUGAAUGUUGACCUCGAAUCAGGUAGGAAUACCCGCUGAACUUAAGCAUAUCAAUAAGCGAGGA
rnacentral:misc_RNA from 1 species